rnacentral:lncRNA from 1 species
CCUCUCGUAAUUUCUCCCAAUAAUUACUUGUCACUUACAUGGAGAAAGAAACCCCUUGGAGACUGACAUAAAGCUACCUAUACAUUAACAACACAUCACCCCUCCAUCUGUAUAUGUGAACGACAGAUGGAGGGUGUGUUGGAAAAAGCUAGCUUAAGGGUUGAGAUUCAGCAAAGGAAGCUUUUUCUUUUCCCCUGCUGGCUGAGUUUUGAAUUUUGAAUGUUGAUGAUGAAAGGGGAAAAGAAAAAGUACAUGAAGAUGGACCCUGUGAGUAAAUUAACACCUUCACGGAGCAUGUGAGGAUUAGAAAGGUGGUGGUGGUAUGUAUGGUGUAAAGCUUGAGAGAGUGGCGGUCCCUCCCAAUAUGGAGAAAAAGAGUGGAACAAUUCUCUGCAUGGACUGGAUAUCUCUCCACUCCACUCUCUCCCUUAGUGCAACAUUUCUUCUUCUUCCUAUUAUUGUUAUGAUGAUAUUCAAAGUCUGUCAAUUUCAUCUCUAUGCAUGCGCUUGCUUGCUCGUCUUGCCCUUUUCUUCCAUCCAAUUUCCCUCAUGCAUAUCCAUCUUUCUUUGUUUUUUUCUUUCAAUAUUUCUUUUAGUAACAUCUAAUUUAUCC